rnacentral:snRNA from 1 species
AUCACUUCUCAGCCUUUUGGUUAAGAUCAAGUGUAGAAUCUGUUCUUAUCAGUUUAACAUUUUUUCAUUUUGAAUGUUUUUCUUUUCAUUUAUAGCUUUUAAAUUGCACAUCAACGGAA